rnacentral:rRNA from 1 species
GAUUAGAUCCCUGUAGGCCAUGCGUAAACGUGGAACUAGAUUUGGGGACCAUUCACGGUUCCGUGUCGCAGCUAACGCAUUAAGUUCCCCCCCUGGGGAGUACGGCCGCAAGGCUAAAACUCAAAGGAAUUGACGGGGGCCCGCACAAGCGGCGGAGCAUGCGGAUUAAUUCGAUGCAACGCGAAGAACCUUACCAAGACUUGACAUAUACGAGAACGGGCCAGAAAUGGUCAACUCUUUGGACACUCGUAAACAGGUGGUGCAUGGUUGUCGUCAGCUCGUGUCGUGAGAUGUUGGGUUAAGUCCCGCAACGAGCGCAACCCUCGUCCUAUGUUGCCAGCACGUAAUGGUGGGAACUCAUGGGAUACUGCCGGGGUCAACUCGGAGGAAGGUGGGGAUGACGUCAAAUCAUCAUGCCCCUUAUGUCUUGGGCUUCACGCAUGCUACAAUGGCCGGUACAAAGGGCUGCGAUACCGUAAGGUGGAGCGAAUCCCAAAAAGCCGGUCUCAGUUCGGAUUGAGGUCUGCAACUCGACCUCAUGAAGUCGGAGUCGCUAGUAAUCGCAGAUCAGCAACGCUGCGGUGAAUACGUUCCCGGGCCUUGUACACACCGCCCGUCAAGUCAUGAAAGUCGGUAACACCCGAAGCCGGUGGCCUAACCCCUUGUGGGAAGG